UCCCUUGUAGCUCAGUCGGUAAAGAAUUUGCCUGCAGUGCAGGAGGCCUGGGUUCGAUCCCUAGGUUGGGAA
rnacentral:tRNA from 1 species